rnacentral:rRNA from 1 species
UACGAAGGGGGCUAGCGUUGCUCGGAAUCACUGGGCGUAAAGCGCACGUAGGCGGAUCUUUAAGUCAGGGGUGAAAUCCUGGAGCUCAACUCCAGAACUGCCUUUGAUACUGAGGAUCUUGAGUCCGGGAGAGGUGAGUGGAACUCCGAGUGUAGAGGUGAAAUUCGUAGAUAUUCGGAAGAACACCAGUGGCGAAGGCGACUUACUGGACACAUAUUGACGCUGAGGUGCGAAAGCGUGGGGAGCAAACAGG